GACGAACGCUGGCGGCGUGCUUAACACAUGCAAGUCGAACGGAAAGGCUCUAGCUUGCUGGUGUGCUCGAGUGGCGAACGGGUGAGUAACACGUGGGCAAUCUGCUCUGCACUUUGGGAUAAGCCUGGGAAACUGGGCCUAAUACCGGAUAGGAUCUUUCCCCUCAUGGGGUUUGGUGGAAAUUUUUGCGGUGCAGGAUGAGCUCGCGGCCUAUCAGCUUGUUGGUGGGGUAAUGGCCUACCAAGGCGACGCCGGGUAGCCGGCCUGAGAGGGUGAUCGGCCACAUUGGGACUGAGAUACGGCCCAGACUCCUACGUGAGGCAGCGGUGGGGAAUAUGGCACAAUGGGCGAGAGCCUGAUGCAGCGGCGCCGCGUGAGGGAUGACGGCCUUCGGGUUGUAAACCUCUUUCAGUAGAGACGAAGCGCAAGUGACGGUACCUGCAGAAGAAGCACCGGCUAACUACGUG
rnacentral:rRNA from 1 species